CGGCUUGGGGGGGGGGUCGAGCCGCGGCCCCGCUCCGCGGAGCGUUGACGUUUUUUGGGGCCCGCAGGAGGGAACGGGGCGGCCGCGCCGGUCGCAGGGCGCCGCGGAGUCUCCGCGGCCGCUUGCCCCGGGCUGGGCCGCCCGCGAGCUUUCGGCGCUGCCUCCGUCGACGCCGCCGUUAAGGCCCCGGUCCCGCCGCGGCUCGGCGGCCGCUGAACUUCUCCUUGCGCUCCGGGAGCCGGACUGCCGACAGACGGAGAUAUUCGCGAGGUCGGGAUCCGCGCCGCGCGCCCGACGGCGAGCCUCGGUUAUCCUCAGCGGUUGGGUUCGUUCGGAUGCGUGUCGCGAGCUGGUUUUCCACGGCCUUCUGCUGGGAAGGCCAAGUCUCCCCGCCGGUGUUUGCGCUGCUGCUAGUUUGCUGGAUCAGAUCCUUAUUGACGAUGGUGGUCAAUGGAGGUAUAAAUACUGAAGAAUAUGUCAUUUACAGAGAAGAUGUUUGAAAUCUGUUUCCUUUAGACAGCAAAGGUCCGUUUUCUGUUCUCACGCAGCCUUCCGGCAUGUCACUUACCUUCCCGAAUUAGUUCCGUUCUGGCUCCAGCCUUACACCCGUGUCGCUGAGGGCAAUGCCUGCGCAGCCGGACGCGGGAAGUGGCCUAUCUUCGUGCCUGUGCCCCGGGCAGCUGGUGCGCGUCCCCUCCGGGCCCGGGCUCCUCUGCGGCACUGCCAGGUGCCCUGGAGAGCUGAGCGUGCCGGCUCUGCUGCCGGGCGCUGCUGGCACGCAGCCCUAGGGCGAAGAUCAGCCCUCUCUGCCAAACCGUGCGUCCUUGCCAUGAUGCGUGCCUACGUUAAAAAUUUGCAUUUCAAGAAACGUGCAUGUCAACCUUUAGGCUGUCCACUAGAAGAGAGCAUGGAAUGUAGGGAUGUUUUUAGUGUUCGUAUAGCAUCUUAACGUGAACGCUGGAUUUUCUUAUCCAUAAAUGGAGAUGCAGCUUAUUGGUUUGUACUAUUUGUUCCAGCGUGUGAAAGAAACCAGAACUAUACGUUACAAGUUCUCAUAAUUUUUGUUUCUUUUUAGUCAUGCAGAAGGAUGCAAAAAUAUAUCAGAGAGAUACAGCAUUAAUAAAAUAGGAAACUGGUUAUGCA
rnacentral:lncRNA from 1 species